rnacentral:tRNA from 1 species
GUCUCUGUGGCGCAACUGGUUAGCGCGUUCGGCUGUUAACCGAAAGGCUGGUGGUUCAAGCCCACCCAGGGACG